rnacentral:rRNA from 1 species
GACGAACGCUGGCGGCGUGCUUAACACAUGCAAGUCGAACGGCAGCACGGAGCAACCUGGUGGCGAGUGGCGAACGGGUGAGUAAUGCAUCGGAACGUACCUUUCAGUGGGGGAUAACGUAGCGAAAGUUACGCUAAUACCGCAUAUUCUGUGAGCAGGAAAGCAGGGGAUCGCAAGACCUUGCGCUGAUUGAGCGGCCGAUGUCAGAUUAGCUAGUUGGUGAGGUAAAGGCUCACCAAGGCGACGAUCUGUAGCGGGUCUGAGAGGAUGAUCCGCCACACUGGAACUGAGACACGGUCCAGACUCCUACGGGAGGCAGCAGUGGGGAAUUUUGGACAAUGGGGGCAACCCUGAUCCAGCCAUGCCGCGUGAGUGAAGAAGGCCUUCGGGUUGUAAAGCUCUUUCGGCCGGGAAGAAAUCGCACGGGCUAAUACCCUGUGUGGAUGACGGUACCGGAAUAAGAAGCACCGGCUAACUCCGUGCCAGCCGCCGCAGUAA